rnacentral:rRNA from 1 species
GGCGAGGCACGUGAAACCUUGUCUGAAUAUGGGGGGACCAUCCUCCAAGGCUAAAUACUCCUGACUGACCGAUAGUGAACCAGUACCGUGAGGGAAAGGCGAAAAGAACCCCUGUGAGGGGAGUGAAAUAGAUCCUGAAACCGCAUGCAUACAAGCAGUGGGAGCACCUUCGUGGUGUGACUGCGUACCUUUUGUAUAAUGGGUCAGCGACUUAUAUUCAGUAGCGAGGUUAACCGUAUAGGGGAGCCGUAGAGAAAUCGAGUCUUAAUAGGGCGUUUAGUUGCUGGGUAUAGACCCGAAACCAGGCGAUCUAUCCAUGAGCAGGUUGAAGGUUGGGUAACACUAACUGGAGGACCGAACCCACUGUCGUUGAAAAGCCAGGGGAUGACUUGUGGAUAGGGGUGAAAGGCUAAUCAAGCCUGGUGAUAGCUGGUUCUCCCCGAAAGCUAUUUAGGUAGCGCCUCGGACGAAUACCAUAGGGGGUAGAGCACUGUUUCGGCUAGGGGGUCAUCCCGACUUACCAAACCGAUGCAAACUCCGAAUACCUAUGAGUACUAUCCGGGAGACAGACUGCGGGUGCUAACGUCCGUAGUCAAGAGGAAAACAAUCCAGACCGCCAGCUAAGGCCCCAAAAUCAUAGUUAAGUGGGAAACGAUGUGGGAAGGCAUAGACAGCUAGGAGGUUGGCUUAGAAGCAGCCACCCUUUAAAGAAAGCGUAAUAGCUCACUAGUCGAGUCGGCCUGCGCGGAAGAUGUAACGGGGCUAAAACUAUGUGCCGAAGCUGCGGAUGUAUACUUUGUAUACGUGGUAGGGGAGCGUUCUGUAAGCCGAUGAAGGUGUGUUGAGAAGCAUGCUGGAGGUAUCAGAAGUGCGAAUGCUGACGUGAGUAACGACAAAACGGGUGAAAAACCCGUUCGCCGAAAGACCAAGGGUUCCAGUCCAACGUUAAUCGGGGCUGGGUGAGUCGACCCCUAAGGCGAGGCCGAAAGGCGUAGUCGAUGGGAAAAUGGUUAAUAUUCCAUUACUUCUGUGUAAUGCGAUGAGAGGACGGAGAAGGCUAAAUCAGCCUGGCGUUGGUUGUCCAGGUGAAAGGAUGUAGGCAUGUAUCUUAGGCAAAUCCGGGGUACUCUAUGCUGAGAUCUGAUAGCAAGCUGUACUUGUACAGCGAAGUGGUUGAUGCCAUGCUUCCAGGAAAAGUCUCUAAGCUUCAGUUACACAGGAAUCGUACCCGAAACCGACACAGGUGGUCAGGUCGAGUAGACCAAGGCGCUUGAGAGAACUCUGCUGAAGGAACUAGGCAAAAUGGUACCGUAACUUCGGGAGAAGGUACGCUGUUGUUGGUGAUGGAACUCGCUUCCUGAGCUGACGACAGCCGCAGAAACCAGGCCGCUGCAACUGUUUAUUAAAAACAUAGCACUCUGCAAACACGAAAGUGGACGUAUAGGGUGUGAUGCCUGCCCGGUGCUGGAAGGUUAAUUGAUGGGGUUAGCGUAAGCGAAGCUCUUGAUCGAAGCCCCAGUAAACGGCGGCCGUAACUAUAACGGUCCUAAGGUAGCGAAAUUCCUUGUCGGGUAAGUUCCGACCUGCACGAAUGGCAUAAUGAUGGCGGCGCUGUCUCCAGCAGAGGCUCAGUGAAAUCGAAAUCGCUGUGAAGAUGCAGUGUACCCGCGGCUAGACGGAAAGACCCCGUGAACCUUUACUGCAGCUUGACACUGAACUUUGACCUUACUUGUGUAGGAUAGGUGGGAGGCUUUGAAGCUGGAACGCUAGUUCCAGUGGAGCCGUCCUUGAAAUACCACCCUGGUAAUGUUGAGGUUCUAACUCUGUCCCGUGAUCCGGGACGAGGACCGUGUCUGGUGGGUAGUUUGACUGGGGCGGUCUCCUCCUAAAGAGUAACGGAGGAGUACGAAGGUGCGCUCAGCGUGGUCGGAAAUCACGCGUAGAGUAUAAAGGCAAAAGCGCGCUUAACUGCGAGACCCACAAGUCGAGCAGGUACGAAAGUAGGUCUUAGUGAUCCGGUGGUUCUGUAUGGAAGGGCCAUCGCUCAACGGAUAAAAGGUACUCUGGGGAUAACAGGCUGAUACCGCCCAAGAGUUCAUAUCGACGGCGGUGUUUGGCACCUCGAUGUCGGCUCAUCUCAUCCUGGGGCUGAAGCAGGUCCCAAGGGUAUGGCUGUUCGCCAUUUAAAGAGGUACGCGAGCUGGGUUUAGAACGUCGUGAGACAGUUCGGUCCCUAUCUACCGUGGGCGCUGGAAAUUUGAGAGGAUCUGCUCCUAGUACGAGAGGACCAGAGUGGACGAACCUCUGGUGUACCGGUUGUGACGCCAGUCGCAUCGCCGGGUAGCUAUGUUCGGAAGGGAUAACCGCUGAAAGCAUCUAAGCGGGAAGCCUACCUCAAGAUAAGAUUUCCCUAGGACUUUAUGUCCUCUAAAGAGCCGUUCGAGACUAGGACGUUGAUAGGUUGGAUGUGGAAGCAUAGUGAUAUGUGAAGCUGACCAAUACUAAUUGCUCGUGAGGCUUGACUAU